rnacentral:rRNA from 1 species
CUACGGGCGGCACCAGUGAGGAAUAUUGCACAAUGGGGGAAACCCUGGUGCAGCAACGCCGCGUGGAGGAUGACGCAUUUCGGUGUGUAAACUCCUUUUAUGAGUCAAGAAAAUGACGGUAGCUCAUGAAUAAGCACCGGCUAACUCCGUGCCAGCAGCCGCGGUAAUACGGAGGGUGCAAGCGUUACUCGGAAUCACUGGGCGUAAAGGACGCGUAGGCGGGAUGUCAAGUCAGGUGUGAAAUCCUAUGGCUCAACCAUAGAACUGCACUUGAAACUGGCAACCUAGAGUAUGGGAGAGGGAGAUGGAAUUAGUGGUGUAGGGGUAAAAUCCGUAGAUAUCACUAGGAAUACCGAAAGCGAAGGCGAUCUCCUGGAACAUUACUGACGCUAAGGCGUGAAAGCGUGGGGAGCAAACAGGAUUAGAUACCCUCGUAGUC